rnacentral:rRNA from 1 species
AUUGAACGCUGGCGGCAGGCCUAACACAUGCAAGUCGAACGAGUGGCGGAUGGGUGAGUAAUGUCUGGGACACUGCCUGAUGGAGGGGGAUCACUACUGGAAACGGUAGCUUAUACCGCAUACUAUCGGAUGAACCCAUAUGGGAUUGGCGAGUAGGGGGGUUAAUGUCUCACCUAGGCGACGAUCCCUAGCUGGUCUGAGGGGAUGAUCAGCCACACUGGGACUGAGACACGGCCCAGACUCCUACGGGAGGCAGCAGGGGGGAAUAUUGCACAAGGGGCGCAAGCCUGAUGCAGCCAUGCCGCGUGGAUGAAGAAGGCCCUAGGGUUGUAAAGUACUUUCAGUCGGGAAGCGUUACCGACAGAAGAAGCACCGGCUAACUCCGUGCCAGCAGCCGCGGUAAUUC